CUACGUGCCAGCAGCCGCGGUAAUACGGAGGGGGCAAGCGUUAUCCGGAAUUAUUGGGCGUAAAGGGUACGUAGGUGGCCUUUUAAGCGUAGGGUAUAAGGCAAUGGCUCAACCAUUGUUCGCCCUAUGAACUGGAAGGCUUGAGUGCAGGAGAGGAAAGCGGAAUUCCUAGUGUAGCGGUGGAAUGCAUAGAUAUUAGGAGGAACAUCAGCGGCGAAGGCGGCUUUCUGGACUGCAACUGACACUGAGGUACGAAAGCGUGGGGAGCAAACAGGAUUAGAUACCCUGGUAGUCCACGCUGUAAACGAUGUCGACUUGGAGGUUGUUCCCUUGAGGAGUGGCUUCCGGAGCUAACGCGUUAAGUCGACCGCCUGGGGAGUACGGCCGCAAGGUUAAAACUCAAAUGAAUUGACGGGGGCCCGCACAAGCGGUGGAGCAUGUGGUUUAAUUCGAUGCAACGCGAAGAACCUUACCUACUCUUGACAUCCAGA
rnacentral:rRNA from 1 species